rnacentral:rRNA from 1 species
CAGCCGCCGCGGUAAUACGUAGGGUGCAAGCGUUAAUCGGAAUUACUGGGCGUAAAGCGUGCGCAGGCGGUUUGUUAAGACAGAUGUGAAAUCCCCGGGCUUAACCUGGGAACUGCAUUUGUGACUGGCAAGCUAGAGUCUGGCAGAGGGGGGUGGAAUUCCGCGUGUAGCAGUGAAAUGCGUAGAUAUGCGGAGGAACACCGAUGGCGAAGGCAGCCCCCUGGGCCAACACUGACACUCAUGCACGAAAGCGUGGGGAGCAAACAGGAUUAGAGACCCCCGUAGUCCCUGUCUCUUAUAA